AUACCUUUCUCGGCCUUUUGGCUAAGAUCAAGUGUAGUAUCUGUUCUUAUCAGUUUAAUAUCUGAUAUGUGGGUCAUGUGCCCACAAUGAUAUUAAAUUUAUUUUUUGUGGGGGAGGGCUCACCAUAGUGGCUUGCCACUGGGGCCCUCAGGUGUCGCCCAGUGCGUUGCAUUAUUGCCUGGGCAGGCGCACCCCAA
rnacentral:snRNA from 2 species